UACGGAGGGAGCUAGCGUUGUUCGGAAUUACUGGGCGUAAAGCGCACGCAGGCGGACGCGCGCGUGGGGUGUGAAAUCUGGCCGCUUAACGGCCAGGCGCCAUCCCAUACGGCGCGUCUGGAGUGAUGCAGAGGUCGAUGGAAUUGCCGGUGUAGUGGUGAAAUGCGUAGAGAUCGGGCAGGAACACCCAGGGGGAAACC
rnacentral:rRNA from 1 species